AAUUCAGCAAUCAACUGCAGGAUUGUGCUCCUCUUGAGAGCUGCCCUGUGCACUCUGGUCAUUGAGCUAAUGAUGUCUGCAGAGAUAAGAAAGUCUUCCCAAGAUGCUGUGUGCCUGUGAAUAUAGUUGGAAUUGUCAAAUGAAGGAUUUGCUUCUUUGUUCCCGAGAAUCCACUUACAGAGGGAAACUGUGUCUGCCCCUUCUGGUCCCUCCAUUAUAAAACUGAGAUGUUCCUGACACGGGGUGUUUCAUUCUGGAGAAAGCCGACUGCUGAAUGAAGCUCCUGUCCAAAUACUGACUGCUCAAGAGGGCAUUAAACCACCCAAACUUUGUUUUGAUUUGCUACUCUUUACUUUCUUGUACCGUAUUGUGCCAUCAAGGGGAAAAUUGUAUAUAUUAAAA